rnacentral:rRNA from 1 species
CAGCCGCCGCGGGAAUACGAAGGGUGCAAGCGUUACUCGGAAUUACUGGGCGUAAAGCGUGUGUAGGUGGUUGUUUAAGUCUGUCGUGAAAGCCCUGGGCUCAACCUGGGAAUUGCGAUGGAUACUGGGCGACUAGAGUGCGGUAGAGGAUAGUGGAAUUUCCGGUGUAGCAGUGAAAUGCGUAGAGAUCGGAAGGAACAUCUGUGGCGAAGGCGACUAUCUGGGCCAACACUGACACUGAGACACGAAAGCGUGGGGAGCAAACAGGAUUAGAUACCCGCGUAGUCCCUGUCUCUUAUAA